CCGGGAUAGCUCAGCUGGUAGAGCAGAGGAC
rnacentral:tRNA from 1 species